CUCUAGCCCCGAUAGGACUGAAAAUCCUUUUGUGCCGGGGUUCGGCACAAAAGAUUGUAAGGGAUAGCGGGACUACUG
rnacentral:sRNA from 1 species